AUGGAAUGUAUUGUUAUCUGCUUUUCUCCCUUCUGCACCACUCACUGCCUCCCCAGACUGCUGAGGGAGACAGACAGACAGACAGAUAGACAGACACAGGGAAAGGGAGAGGGAGAAGAAGAAAGAGAGGGAGAGGGAAGAGGAGAGAGAAGAGAGGGAGAGGAGAGAAAGAAAGAAAGAAAGAAAGAAAGAAAGAAAGAAAGAAAGAAAGAAAGAAAGAAAGAAAGAAAGAAAGAAAGAAAGAAAGAAAGAAAGAAAGAAAGAAAGAAAGAAAGAAAGAAAGAAAGAAAGAAAGAAAGAAAGAAAGAAAGAAAGAAAGAAAGAAAGAGAGAGAGAGAGAGAGAGAGAGAGAGAGAGAGAGAGAGAGAGAGAGAGAGAGAGAGAGAGAGAUGGAGGAAGUUCAAUAACUAUUCUAACUGGAUACAUUAUAAAUUUGAAGUAUCCAACUUUGACUGAGCCCUCAUUGCAGCAAGGUGGCCCUCUUUUUUUCCCUUUUAUUUUUCACUGUUUCACCUGUUUCACCCCUUCCCAAAUCUUCUCUCCUCAAGCCUGGUAUAUCUUCCUUUCCUUUGUCAGCUGAAAGUGUCACCUCUUCCUUUACUGAGAAAGUCGAGGCCAUUUGAUGUGAGCUCCCUCCCUUCUCUUUAUCUCAACUCUGUGACAUCACUGUCCAUUCUCUUUUCCUUUCUCUCUGUCUCUGAUAAGGAGGCAGUCCUUCUCCUUAAGUCUAAACCUCUCAACACAUGCCCUAUGUCCUCUCUUCCCGAAAGAUUGAAACCUCAAACACUCCUUCUUAUUUUCUCUUCUUCAGGAUGUCUCUAUCUACUGAUUCCUUCCCUACUUCCUUCAAAAAUGCCCAGGUCUCCCCACCUUAAAGAAAAAAACCUGUACUAGUCCUAGGAGCCCUUCAAGACAUCAUCUUGUAUCUCUUCUACUUUUCUCAGUUAAACUAGGAAAAAAGUCAUCUACAGUUAAUGCCUUUAUUUUCUCUCCCCUCAUUUACUCUUCAACCCAGAAGCAAUAUCUUUUGACCUCAUCAUUCAAUUGAAACUGCUCUCUCCAAAGUUACUAAUGAUUUCUUAAUUACCACAUUUAAUGACCUUUUCUCAGGUCUCAUCCUUCUUGGCCUAUCUGUGCAUUUGACACUGUUAACCAUCUUUUCCUCCUGGAUACCCUCUCCACACAACAGGGCACUCUCCUCCCUUCCAAAUGGACUCUUUUUUAAACCCUUACCUUCCAUCUUGAAAUCAAUUUUGUUUAUUCUGUUUCGAGGCAGAAGAGCAGUAAGGGCAGGCAAUGGGAAUUAAAUGCCUUGCCCAGGGUCUCACAGCCAGGAAGUAUCAAAUACCAGGUUUGAACCCAGGACCUCCUAUCUCCAGGCCUGGGUCUCCAUCCACUGAGCAACCCAGUUGCACUCCAGAAACAUUUUUAACAACUGUUUUCUCACAUUUUUCAA
rnacentral:lncRNA from 1 species